ACUUGCAGUAGUUAUAGAGUCAGGAUAAUCUUUUCUAUGGAGAGGAAAUCUGAUGACCUCCCACAUGUGAUGUUUUUGUGUCUGCAGACUGUCAGGCUGUCUGAUCACAGAGAAAGGCUGCAGAUCUCUGGCCUCAGCUCUGACCUCAAACCCCUCCCAUCUGAAGGAGCUGGACCUGAGCUACAAUCAUCCUGGAAUCACAGGAUUAACGCUGUUGACUGGUCUACAGAAUUCACAAUCAAAGCUGGACACUCUCAGUUGGAGCCUACUGGAAUCCAGUGGUUGACACCAGGUUGAAGUAUUCCUGUGAACUCACAAUCGACACCAACACGGUAAACCACAGAAUCCAACUGUCUGACAACAACAGGAAGGGGAUAUAUGUGAAGGACUCUGUGUUAUAUCCUGAUCAUCCAGACAGAUUUAACUGUCCUCAGCUGCUGUGUAGAGAAGGUCUGACUGGGCGCUGUUACUGGGAGAUUGAGUGGACAGGAGGAGUGGAUAUAUCAGUGAGUUACAGAGGAAUCAGCAGGAAAGGACACAAUCAGUCCUGGUGUCUGAGAUGCUUUGAUGAUGAUGGUGGAGUUGAAUACUCUGUCCUUCACAAUAACAAGGAGACACUUAUUAC